UUUGUUUGUUUUGUUUUGUUUUUAUGGUGGACAAGGACUUACAGACAAGUAUAAAAGUAAGAUCUUUUUACAAGCCAGAACUCAUUGCUCAGUAUGAGCCUUGAUUAUAUAUGAAGGAAUAUG